CAGUGGCAGGAAGGCAAAAAGAGAAGGAAAGAAGAAAAGAAAAGGAAGGAAAGAAGAAAGAAAGAGAGAGAAAGAAAAGAAAGGAAAGAAGGAAGGAAAGAAAGAAAGAAGAAAGAAAGGAAGAGAAAAAGAAAGAAAGAAGAACGAAUGAAAGAAAGAAAGAGAAAAGAAAGAAAGAGAAAGAAAGAAGAGAAAUAAAUCUCGGGCUGAGAAAAUCUGCAAAUAAGCGCAUAAUUAGCUCUGAGUAUCUUGAGGAUGAAGUCAAAGAGGGAAGCACACUGGUUAUGAUAGAGAUAGGUGGCAGCCAAGGCCUACCCCUCACAAAACCCUGCCUUCAAGCAUAAAACACUUGACAGCUGAAAAACCGAACUGCCAGUCUGGAAGACUCUGCAACUGACCUGUGCACUGGCAGGACAGAUUGGAGCCAUGGGAAGUUCUCAGGUUUGCAAGGAGAAGGAGCCUGGCCCUUCUGUUCCUGGGUGGGAACCUGGAAUUCAAACUGUGAGAUGAGGGCCUGUUAACAGGAACCCCUCUCUCACUUUGCUGUAUUGUUUUUCCUCUUUCCUUUUCGCCCAGUACAUUUCGUCCCCCUCGCCCUUCAAAGUGUCUGUGAGCCUAAUCUUUCCUGGUUGUGUGGCAAGAACCUGGAUUUUCCUACAACAGUUACAUAUGUUUCAUUGUCUUAGAAAAUGAAACACUCUAGUCUGUCAAAAAGCAAACGUUUUCUGGCUCUGGUGUCUGCGAGCAAGUUCUCAAGUGGGUGGAUAUAGUGACUGGCAUCCUGGAACAAUGUCCCUCCAGUAGUUUCACAAAGAAGGCACAGAAGUUCUACUCACGACUGUUUCUUAUGAAGCUGAGGCACGCUGCGAGGCUUUGCUUUUGUGAUGAAGAAACUCGAGACUAGACCUGACACAUGAAUAGAACUCAGGGAACUUUGAGGAACAGGGCCCUUGGCAAAUGUCAGUUGUCUCAGCUAGACUUUCGAAAUGAACCAUAUUCAGACAGUUCACAAGUAGAGUGUCUAACAAGAAGCUGAAGGACUGAUAAGCAAUAUUGUAACGGACAGGGUAUCAAUACACUCCCGUUACCAGAUGUGUAAGCAGCAGAGAACCCUCUCAUGAACAUUGAGGUGCCUGGGUUGUAUUCUCACCAGAGGGGAGGCCAUCCCUUCCACCCUGGAGGUAGCCAUGGACACAAGCAGGUACUUUACUCAGGUACGUAUACAGGAUCCGCUAAGACUGCUGUUGUGUAAAUGUGUUCUGGGUGUGUGACCAAGAAGUGAGUAGGAUACAGCACCUGGUAAAACAAGAUAACCGCUGCUUCUUAAAGAAUCCCUCGCUUAGGAAUGUGACCAGAUUGUAGGGAACUCAAACAAUCCCUUUAAGUGGAAAGCAAAUAGAUUAGGAAAAAACCACAUGGUUUGACACACCAUCAGUGGCUUUUCUUUUCUCCUUUUCUGUUUUCUUCUCAUGAUGUAAGAGAACAGUGUGCAUUGCAAACGCAGAGAUCUUCCUUGUCCUGCUGCCACUCUAGACUGCCUGGUAUGUAAGCUCCCCCCAAAUAAACCUUUAACCACCUAC
rnacentral:lncRNA from 10 species